AGGUCCCACGGGGAGGGUGGCUGCUAAGGUUGGAAGAAUCCUUGAGUCGGGACGGUUUCCGGAUGUUUGGAGGGUGAAGAGGGUCAGCUGCCCCCUCCCAUCAAGGCUUUUUGGAUAUGUCAAAGGACAUAAAGAUCCUGUAUCAAUGAGACCUAUGGUGGAUGGAGGGAUGUCGCUGCUAUACCAUCUGGAGGGGAUGAUUGCGGCAUGGGCCCAAAAGUGUCUUGAAGGAUAUGAGUAUGCUGUAAACCAAACAAAAGAAAUUUCUAUCAUAACUUAAAAAAGAGGGCAUUUUAUACUUGAUCCAUAAACAUACCUUGAAAAAGAUUGGUGAUUCUGUGAUUUUCUUUUCUUUUUUGUUAAAUCCUUGACAAUACAGAAGCUAUUUAAUAUAUUGACUACAACGACAAAACAGUAGUGGAAGAAGCACUAAUUGAAAUGCAAAGAGAUGAAAUUGCAGAAGAAAUCUAAUGCUCUGAGAAGAGUAGCAUUGUCCAGAGAAGAAGUGUAAUGUCUUCAGUUUUUCUUUGUCUACUUUCAUGGUCCACUUAAUCAUAUCAGUGGAGAGAGAGAUUCAAAUCCAUUUCUGACCAUAUUUUAUCAGAUUGAACCUCCUCUCUUCUACUAGGAUUAGCAGGUAGACUUUACUGACAAGAUAAUUUACAUUAUUUAUUUUUCAGUUCCCCUAACCUGGAUUAUGAAGCUAUGUGAAACUGGAUUAUUAUUUCCUCUCUCAAGCCAUUGUUUAUAAUUUUGUGGUGUUCAUGUUAUCCCAAGAGAAAGAAGGCAUAAACUAUAGAGCACAAGAUCUUAAAAACAUAUCUUUAUUUUCUAUAGUCACAUCUGUUGACUGUACAAUUCAAGUGAUAGUCCAACAACUCUCCGAGAGCGACACUCAGCCCUCUCGCGGUGAAAAGUUUUCUUCUUCUAAUUUGCAUGUUUGUCCCCACAGUUUUUUUUAUAGAUUUCUUUUCUUUCUCUCCUCUCUCGCCUGAAAAGGUCAUUUAAAAUUAAGCUUUUUCCAAUUGAAUUUAUUAGAUUUUUUAUAGUCUGAAGUUAGAUUAUCAUAAUAAAUUUUCAAAAUAUUACAUAUAUUGGCAAUUUUGCAGUAUAUAAUUAAAAUUAAUUCAUAUCAUAAAAUAAAUUUU
rnacentral:lncRNA from 1 species